GCACACACGCACGCACACACACUCGCACACACGCAGAGGCACGGGAGGGAAAGAAGCCGAUGAAUAAUUUUGCUAUUUUUUAAAAUACUGGCCGCCAUCAUCAAGCAGCGAGCAGCAGCAGAAGCGUUGAAGGGAGAGGAGGCAUCGGGACAGGCCCCUCUUAGGAGAGGAUUUAUAUCUAGUUGGAAAAAAAAAGAAAGAAAAGAAAAAGAAGAAAAAGAAGAAAAAAAUUGUCAAGCCCCCGAACUGAAGGUUACGAGCGGCCCGUCAGCAGCCCACAUGUAACCGAACUGUCGUGUUUCAUGGCUUUUUGCCACUCCAGCUGUCAAUCAAAGCCCGGAAUGUCAAGGUAGUGAAUGAAUGAUGGUUGAUGAUGAUGAAGAGGAGGAAUCUUUCAGACCCGUUUUUUUCUUCCAGUAAAACUCCGCGAGGGGUUUCUGCUUCUUGAAUUUUUUCCUCCCCCCUCCCCCCUUUUUUAGCUUUGCCCCCGCGGUAUCUAUAAUACGAUCCUCUCUCUUUAAAGUAUUGUUCAAAGAAAGCAGUGAGAAAAAUCAA
rnacentral:lncRNA from 1 species